UAAGAGAGUUUGAUCCUGGCUCAGGAUGAACGCUGGCGGUAUGCCUAACACAUGCAAGUCGUACGAGGAUUUCAUAUCCAAGUGGCGGACGGGUGAGUAACACGUGAGAAUUUACCCUAAGGAGGGGGACAACAACUGGAAACGGUUGCUAAUACCCCAUAUGCUUUCGAGUGAAAAAGAUUUAUCUGCCUUAGGAAAAGCUCGCGGCUGAUUAGCUAGUUGGUAAGGUAAUGGCUUACCAAGGCGACGAUCAGUAUCUGGUUUGAGAGGACGAUCAGACACACUGGAACUGAGACACGGUCCAGACUCCUA
rnacentral:rRNA from 1 species